CCCAGGAGCACCGAGUUCCUGGGAACCCUGGGUGACCAGCCAGGGACAGGGCACUCCCUCCCCUCUGUCCCUCCACUACCCAGGCAGGAAAACAGACUGCAAGGGCAGGUUAAUAUGAAUGGACAUGCUGUGAAAAAUGGAUACUAAAUUAUGCCCUGAUCCAAUAAACCUCCCGGCCCACGUGCUCAGAAAAGCCUCGGUGAGUAGACAGGCCUCACGAGCUGCUCAGCAGCUCAAUAAAAUCUGUCUCUGACCUGCCAGAUUGAAAAGGGAAACAAAUGGCAGAAUUCGGGGCCUUCUCCUGAGGAGGCCUCUCUCCUGCUCUGUGUGACACCAGCUCCCUGUGACACCAGCUCUGUGUGACACCAGAUCUCUGCCUGCAGCAGGACCAUGAGCUUGAGAGAAUUCCCCUCCUUCCUCCUUGGCUUCCAGGUGCUGCCACAGAGAGGGAUUUCAUCCACACCCCAGAACUGCUCUGAGGCUCAGGAGCCAAGUGGCUGCAGCAGCAGGGAGCAGAUGCAGGGUCAGCCCCCUGCCCCACACCAUCCCUGCCACGCUGCUCAGCUGUCUGGAAGAGGUGGGAACACCUUUCCAGGACUGUGUUUGUCCUCACAAGGAACUACAGUCAAUGCUCUGCCUGGAGAAAGGGCUGGAUGCUGCUCUGCCAACACCAGUUUGUCCUGCUGCCUUUGGUGGGCCUGUGCACCUCUCACUUGGCUGUAGGAUGAUUCAUGAGCAUGCAGGUGUGUUGUAUCUGCACUCAGGCCGUGCUAAUCCUGUUUAGUCAUUUUUCAGAGGAUUUCAUUUAGAUACUGGGCUGGGGCUCUGCAUGCCCUUGACAAUACUGAGCAACACCAUUGCUCAUAUUUAAACUCACUGACAUAGCUAGUGAUGGUGAAAUUAAAAGAGACAAUGACAUAAAGCUCUCACCCAGCAGCGGUUUUCCUCCUGCCAAUCACCACUCUAGCAUUUCCCCUCCCUUGCUGAAAGCCAAGGAUAAGGGGCAGAUUUUGCAGCUUACCUGGAAGAGCAGCAGGUCUGAGCUCUUCUGGACUGCCCAGCCUGUUCAAGCUAAACCUACAGAGCACACAGGAGACCGGGCACCACCUGCAGUGCAAACCCCCAGCAAACCCCUCACAGAAUGCAACACAGGAACAGAUUGAAUGGAGAAUGAAGGAAAUGACUCCUGGAAACAAAGGCCAGGGCUGCACUACUGAUGAGAAAGCAAUGGAAAAUGCACAGCAGAGGCAAAGUGAGGGGCAUUGGUGCCUUGAUUCAUAGAGACCUGCUCCAAAGGCAGUGUGGAAUUCCCGGGGCAUCCAAGGAGUGUCUACCCACCCACAUCCUGCUGAAGGGGCAGGUCCCAGCUCUGGCUUUGGCUGUAGGUUAAACUCACACCUGUCUCUGCCCACAGGCAGAACUGAUGCAACACCUCAGCCAUGCGGGUACUCCCGUGCUAAUUGUCUUGCACCUCGUUCAAGCUCAGCCUCCAUUCUGUGGUGCCGUGUGUCACAGCACAGUAACUUCAGAAAUGUGUGCCACCGUGGCUGGAGAGGGCUGGCUCCCUGGAAAGAUGUGGGAGCUGUGUGCACUCCCGACCUAUUGCAAAGGCAAAGUGAAACAGGAAAGCAAUUUGGUAAGUCCACACUGAAUCUGACAAUCAUUUCAGGACAAUGGAGAAAGCAUUUUUCAAGGAGAAGAAUACUGACCGAAAAAAAAAAAUCCUCAUGAACAUAAUGACAAUAAAACAACUGGACAGACCCCACCACCCUGCUGCUUUAUAUGCAAUAGCUGUGGGACACGAAGUCUCUAUGGCUUUCAGGCAAUGAGGGAACUUAUCUGGCAAUGUGAAAUCUUGGCAGGCAAAAAACAUUUUGAGGGAGAAAUGAAAUGCUCUAGGAAUGGCAGAGGAAACCUGAACACUGGUGGGGCUGCUCUGAGUCCUGACACAGAAAACUGUGAGGAUCACACCUCUCUAUUUGCUAAGGUGUGACCCAAGUCCCUUGCUCUAAUUAGGGGAUGGAG